AGUAGUUUGAUCCUGGCUCGAGGACGAACGCUGGCGGCGUGCUUAACACAUGCAAGUCGAGCGGAAAGGCCCUUUCGGGGGUACUCGAGCGGCGAACGGGUGAGUAACACGUGAGUAAUCUGCCCUUGGCUUUGGGGAUAACUACCGGAAACGGUGGCUAAUACCGGAUAUGACCAUGCUCGGCAUCGGGUGUGGUGGAAAGUUUUUUCGGCCAGGGAUGUGCUCGCGGCCUAUCAGCUUGUUGGUGGGGUAAUGGCCUACCAAGGCUUCGACGGGUAGCCGGCCUGAGAGGGUGACCGGCCACACUGGGACUGAGACACGGCCCAGACUCCUACGGGAGGCAGCAGUGGGGAAUAUUGGACAAUGGGCGGAAGCCUGAUCCAGCAACGCCGCGUGAGGGAUGACGGCCUUCGGGUUGUAAACCUCUUUCAGUACCGACGAAGCGCCGAUGAUGGUGGUGACGGUAGGUACAGAAGAAGCACCGGCCAACUACGUG
rnacentral:rRNA from 1 species